rnacentral:rRNA from 1 species
UACUAUAACUUGAUAUUGAAAUUUGGUAUGACGUGUAGAGGAUAGGUGGGAGACUAUGAGACUAGGACGCUAGUUCUAGUGGAGUCAACCUUGGAAUACCACCCUCGUUAUAUUGGAUUUCUAACUUGGAUCCAUUAUCUGGAUUAAGGACAGUGUCUGGUGGGUAGUUUGACUGGGGCGGUCGCCUCCCAAAAAGUAACGGAGGCGCUCAAAGGUAUCCUCAGUAUGGUUGGAAAUCAUACAUAGAGCGCAAAG